rnacentral:rRNA from 1 species
AUUGAACGCUGGCGGCAGGCUUAACACAUGCAAGUCGAGCGAGCGGCGGACGGGUGAGUAAUGUCUGGGAAACUGCCUGAUGGAGGGGGAUAACAACUGGAAACGGAAGCUAAUACCGCAUACCAUCAGAUGUACCCAGAUGGGAUUAGCUUGUAGGUGGGGUAAUGGCUCACCUAGGCGACGAUCCCUAGCUGGUCUGAGAGGAUGACCAGCAAACCUGGAACUGAGACACGGUCCAGACUCCUCCGUGAGGCAGCAGUGGGGAAUAUUGCACAAUGGGGGCAGGCCUAAUGCAGCCAUGCCGCGUGUAUGAAGAAGGCCUUCGGGUUGUAAAGUACUUUCAGCGGGGAGGCGUUACCCGCAGAAGAAGCACCGGCUAACUCCGUGCCAGCAGCCGCGGUAAUAC